rnacentral:rRNA from 1 species
AGUGAACGCUGGCGGUAGGCCUAACACAUGCAAGUCGAACGGCAGCACAGUAAGAGCUUGCUCUUACGGGUGGCGAGUGGCGGACGGGUGAGGAAUACAUCGGAAUCUACUUUUUCGUGGGGGAUAACGUAGGGAAACUUACGCUAAUACCGCAUACGACCUACGGGUGAAAGCAGGGGAUCUUCGGACCUUGCGCGAUUGAAUGAGCCGAUGUCGGAUUAGCUAGUUGGCGGGGUAAAGGCCCACCAAGGCGACGAUCCGUAGCUGGUCUGAGAGGAUGAUCAGCCACACUGGAACUGAGACGCGGUCCAGACUCCUACGGGAGGCAGCAGUGGGGAAUAUUGGACAAUGGGCGCAAGCCUGAUCCAGCCAUACCGCGUGGGUGAAGAAGGCCUUCGGGUUGUAAAGCCCUUUUGUUGGGAAAGAAAAGCAGCAGGUUAAUACCCCGCUGUUCUGUCGGUACCCAAAGAAUAAGCACCGGCUAACUUCGUG